CUUGUCCAAAAAGGGAAAGGACAAAAAAAACUAGUUUCAUUUGGCAAUUUCCACUGAUAAAGAAAAACUUCACUAGAACAGAAAUUCACGCACAAAGUCAGACAGCAUCAGUUAACAGCCGGGAGGGGAUCAAGAUGACAGAAUGUACAGGAAAUACCAAGAAGCAAAUGCACUCAUGGUUUAACAAUCAGAUUUGUCAUUCCCAAAGACAGUUGGGAGAGAAAAAGCACACCAAAUACAUAGCGUUUGACAUUGAUCAUCUAACCCUACAAGCUGCAGGACCACCUGGGGAGCAAUUAGGAUUAGGUGACCGACAACUUGAACCAGGACCAACAUUGUU
rnacentral:misc_RNA from 1 species